AUUGAACGCUGGCGGCAGGCUUAACACAUGCAAGUCGAGCGAGCGGCGGACGGGUGAGUAAUGUCUGGGAAACUGCCUGCUGGAGGGGGAUAACUACUGGAAACGGUAGCUAAUACCGCAUAACAUCAGAUGUGCCCAGAUGGGCUUAGCUGGUAGGUGGGGUAAUGGCUCACCUAGGCGACGAUCCCUAGCUGGUCUGAGAGGAUGACCGGCCACACUGGAACUGAGACACUGUCCAGACUCCUACGGGAGGCAGCAGUGGGGUAUGUUGCACAGUGGGCGCAAGCCUGAUGCAACCGUGCCACGUGUGUGAAGGAGGCCUUCGGGUUGUAAAGCACUUUCAGCGAGUAGGCGUUACUCGCAGAAGAAGCACCGGCUAACUCCGUGCCAGCCGCCGCGGUAAUUC
rnacentral:rRNA from 1 species